AUUUGGCUUUUUUUUCCAGAAAAGUACUUGGCGGCAUUGCUAAAGUCGGUCUCAAACUUCUUGGAUGGGAUCGUGAUUUUUUUGGAAAACUGGCCUAUCUGAAAAGCGAGGACAGCGACUCGUUUCAAGAAUUUUUGGAGAAUGCGAAGGAUGAAUUCGAAGACGAAUUGUCGGAUGACGACAUGAACAAAUGGUUUCUGCAUUGAAUUCAGUCUCUGGAAUGCAGUCUGGACGAAAUUGAAGAAUUUGCUCAGAAUAUGAAAAGCAACGAUGUAGAAGUUAAUGAGAGCUUAAAGAAAGCCACCCAUCAACUCCGGGAGGAAUUACUCCUGAGAUCCGCAAUGAUGCGAUAAAUGAGUUCAUAAUGCAAAAAUUUGGCUAUAUUGUUCCUGAAUUCCAGUCAAUUUUCAGUUACUGUCACAGUACACUUCAAUUGCCCUAAAAAAAAACAUAAAACUUUCAAGAAGCAAUUUUUAUCCAUCUCUGUUUGCUUCGGAAACGAUUGUUUUCUCUUUUGUUUUCAAAACCUCUUGACUAUAACAAUUUAUGAAGAUGAUGAAAUAUAUACCAAUAUAUAUGCCUUUAAUCCAGUGGUUCUCA